UACGUAGGGUGCAAGCGUUAAUCGGAAUUACUGGGCGUAAAGCGUGCGCAGGCGGUUGUGCAAGCCAGAUGUGAAAUCCCCGGGCUCAACCUGGGAACUGCAUUUGUGACUGCAUCGCUGGAGUACGGCAGAGGGGGAUGGAAUUCCGCGUGUAGCAGUGAAAUGCGUAGAUAUGCGGAGGAACACCGAUGGCGAAGGCAAUCCCCUGGGCCUGUACUGACGCUCAUGCACGAAAGCGUGGGGAGCAAACAGG
rnacentral:rRNA from 1 species